rnacentral:rRNA from 1 species
GAAUCCUAUUAGGGGAAGGUGUGUUAUAAAGGAUGAUCCGCCUAUUAAUUUACUUUUAUUAUGUUGGUGUAUAUCUGGUUUGAUAUUAUUGCUUAAUAGCUUAAUUUGUGUAUUUAUAAUUAUUUAAGCCAAGUCUAUGUGCUGCUUGUAAAAGUUUUCAUGCGUUACGUUAAUAAGUUUGGUUGUGUAAG